rnacentral:rRNA from 1 species
UGCCAGCAGCCGCGGUAAUACGUAGGGAGCGAGCGUUGUUUGGAUUUACUGGGCGUAAAGAGCAUGUAGGUGGGCAUGCAAGUCGGCUGUGAAAUCCUCUGGCUCAACCAGAGAACUGCAGCCGAAACUGCAUGCCUUGAGUCCAUCAGAGGGAAUCGGAAUCGAGAGUGUAGCGGUGAAAUGCGUAGAUAUUCUCGAGAACACCAGUGGCGAAGGCGACACCCUGGACCAAUACUGACACUGAGGUGCGAAAGCGUGGGGAGCUAACAGGAUUAGAUA